rnacentral:rRNA from 1 species
UUCGUAGGUGGCAAGCGUUGUCCGGAUUUAUUGGGCGUAAAGCGCGCGCAGGCGGUCCUUUAAGUCUGAUGUGAAAUCUUGCGGCUCAACCGCAAGCGGUCAUUGGAAACUGGGGGACUUGAGUACAGAAGAGGAAAGCGGAAUUCCACGUGUAGCGGUGAAAUGCGUAGAGAUGUGGAGGAACACCAGUGGCGAAGGCGGCUUUCUGGUCUGUAACUGACGCGGAGGCGCGAAAGCGUGGGGAGCAAACAGG